AGUAAUGUAUGGGGAUCUGCCUGAUGGCGGGGGGUAACUACUGGAAACGGUAGCUAAUACCGCAUAAUGUCUGCGGACCAAAGCGGGGGACCUCCGGGCCUCGCGCCAUCAGAUGAACCCAUAUGGGAUUAGCUUGUAGGUAAGGUAACGGCUUACCUAGGCGACGAUCCCUAGCUGGUCUGAGAGGAUGAUCAGCCACGCUGGGACUGAGACACGGUCCAG
rnacentral:rRNA from 1 species